UCCAGACUCCUACGGGAGGCAGCAGUGGGGGAUAUUGCACAAUGGGGGAAACCCUGAUGCAGCGACGCCGCGUGGGUGAAGAAGCGCCUCGGCGCGUAAAGCCCUGUCAGCAGGGAAGAAAAUGACGGUACCUGAAGAAGAAGCCCUGGCUAACUACGUGCCAGCAGCCGCGGUAAUACGUAGGGGGCAAGCGUUAUCCGGAUUCACUGGGUGUAAAGGGAGCGUAGACGGCCAUGCAAGCCUGGAGUGAAAGCCCGGGGCCCAACCCCGGGACUGCUCUGGGAACUGUGCGGCUGGAGUGCGGGAGGGGCAGGCGGAAUUCCUGGUGUAGUGGUGAAAUGCGUAGAUAUCAGGAGGAACACCGGCGGCGAAGGCGGCCUGCUGGACCGCGACUGACGUUGAGGCUCGAAAGUGCGGGGAUCGAACAGGAUUAGAUACCCCAGUAGA
rnacentral:rRNA from 1 species